rnacentral:piRNA from 1 species
UGAAAGCCUCGAGGGCUCUGUGGG